rnacentral:rRNA from 1 species
UACGUAGGGUGCGAGCGUUAAUCGGAAUUACUGGGCGUAAAGCGUGCGCAGGCGGUGAUGUAAGACCGAUGUGAAAUCCCCGGGCUUAACCUGGGAACUGCAUUGGUGACUGCAUUGCUGGAGUAUGGCAGAGGGGGGUGGAAUGCCGCGUGUAGCAGUGAAAUGCGUAGAGAUGCGGCGGAACACCGAUGGCGAAGGCAGCCCCCUGGGCUGAGAUUGACGCUCAGGCACGAAAGCGUGGGGAGCAAACAGG